CCUACGGGAGGCUGCAGUCGAGAAUCAUUCACAAUGGGGGUAACCCUGAUGGUGCGACGCCGCGUGGGGGAAUGAAGCUCUUCGGAUUGUAAACCCCUUUCAUGUGGGAGCAAAUUAAAAAGAUAGUACCACAAGAGGAAGAGCCUGCGAACUCUGUGCCAGCAGCCGCGGUAAUACAGAGGUCUCAAGCGUUGUUCGGAAUCACUGGGCGGAAAGCGUGCGUAGGCUGUUUCGUAAGUCGUGUGUGAAAGGCGCGGGCUCAACCCGCGGACGGCACAUGAUACUGCGAGACUAGAGUAAGGGAGAGGGAACCGGAAUGCUCGGUGUAGCAGUGAAAUGCGUAGAUAUCGAGAGGAACACUCGUGGCGAAGGCGGGUUCCUGGACAUUAACUGACGCUGAGGCACGAAGGCCAGGGGAGCGAAAGGGAUUAGAUACCCGGGUAGUC
rnacentral:rRNA from 1 species